rnacentral:rRNA from 1 species
GAUGAACGCUGGCGGCGUGCCUAAUACAUGCAAGUCGAGCGAAUGGAUUAAGAGCUUGCUCUUAUGAAGUUAGCGGCGGACGGGUGAGUAACACGUGGGUAACCUGCCCAUAAGACUGGGAUAACUCCGGGAAACCGGGGCUAAUACCGGAUAACAUUUUGAACCGCAUGGUUCGAAAUUGAAAGGCGGCUUCGGCUGUCACUUAUGGAUGGACCCGCGUCGCAUUAGCUAGUUGGUGAGGUAACGGCUCACCAAGGCAACGAUGCGUAGCCGGACUGAGAGGGUGAUCGGCCACACUGGGACGGAGACACGGCCCAGACUCCUACGGGGGGCAGCAGUAGGGAAUCUUCCUCAAUGGACGAAAGGCUGACGGAGCAACGCCGCGUGAGUGAUGAAGGCUUUCGGGUCGUAAAACUCUGUUGUUAGGGAAGAACAAGUGCUAGUUGAAUAAGCUGGCACCUUGACGGUACCUAACCAGAAAGCCACGGCUAACUACGUGCCAGCCGCCGCGGUAA